UCUCGAUGCUGCGGUUGACACGUUGAUCGUGUCCGUUCACAUGCUGGUCGUCGUGAAGGUCGCUUUGAGCCAGAAUAAGACGACGACAGAUUCGAACUUUACCGAAAACACUAUCUGCGUCCAGCGACGAUAGACACCAAGUUUU